CUGACAGACUUUAGACCUUGGAGGAAUAUCACCAAGAUUUGUGAGUGCCAAGAAAGGAGUCAGUGGCUGAGGAAGACUACUCGCCCUCAUCCCCCGACCACCAGAAGGCAGAAAAAGACCCCCUAGCAACUGGAGGAGCAUGCGCAGAAUUACUAAAGGAGGAGCACGUCACCCAAAAACCUAACAGCUUAAAAGGAACAGACUAAGGGGGGGUGGGCGCAGCAGGUGGUGGAGUGGAGACUCCCCUGCUGUCCAGCGCUGAAUUUGCUUUUGCUUUCUGUAACCAAUAAAUCUUUAAAUUGUUAUUUGACCUUAUAUGGCCCAUUGCGCUCAUUUAUAACAAAUUUGGUGCCGUACUCGGAUCGAGAUUUUGGAGGGGCUCUCUGCCUGCGGGGAGGCGCGCCCCACCAUUUUGGUGGCCCCGGGGACGGGAGUCCUAUCCCAACCUCGACCGACGAACCUAAAAUUAAGAAAGCAAAAGCAAAGGUAGGAGGGCCCAGUUGACCCCUUAAAUUUUGUGCACAAAGUCCGGACGAAGACGCAGGACGCGUUCAGCCCGGGGACUGGGUACUGGUCCGAAGUUGGAAGGAAAAUCCGAUAACACCCAAGUGGGAAGGACCUUACCAGGUGUUGCUUACAACAGACACAGCAGUACGCACUGUGGAAAAAGGGUGGACUCACGCAAGCCGAAUCAAGGGACCAGUAGAUCCGUCUAAAUUCACCAACGACCCUGGGUGGGAAGUGAAGGGCACACCUGGGAGCCUGAAACUGACACUUAAGAAGCGAGUAAGCUCUAAUUAAAAGACAAAUUACAUUAUUCUCACCCCACCACAGGUAUGAGACUUUUUCCACAUGGGAGAUAGACUGUGGGAUCCAACAUACUAUUCUUUCCUAGUAGAGCUCCGAGCAACAGGAGCACCAGUGGGGGGGGGGGAAGAUCUGCUGAAUGCAGCAGUAAAAAUAAGAUGUAAUGCUGAAAAUUGCUGGGGAAAUUGUAACCCUUUUGUAUGCUUUAUUUGUUUAGUUUGUAAGGAGGAGUGGUGGACCCAUUGCAGCAACAGUUACCCUCCAAGGGGAGUGUGUAAAAAUUGUUAUUCGGACCAAAGGCUACUCACCUCUCAGGUCCUGGCUACCAAAGUGGCUGCCAGAGAACUUUUAAGAGGGUCUGAAGAGUGGUGGAAAAUUUUUACAAAGGGGAUAAACCCCCAGUUUUAUUGUUAUCACUCUAAUGAACCUGCCCCAUUUGUGGCUAGGAUAGUAGCCGCCUUGUGCAGACGGUGGGUACCUGAACUCAGUUGCUAUACCCCUCAAAUUAAGAACCGCAAGUGGUAUAAAUACAUAAAACGUAUCAAAAAGCAUGGGUCAAACACCCCUCCUGAAGAAUACUCCUGCUGCCGAGAAGAUGGAACUCCCCAUAGCUCGUAGCAACCGAGUUGAUGGGCAAGGCAGAGGAGAUGAGAGCAGUGGAGGGGGGAGCCCGAGCAAAAGGGGAAAACGAGGAACAGGUACCCAGAGCCGUCGAAAGUCCAAGGGAAAAGAAAAGUCUGAGGUAAAUGGGAAGGAAAAUAAAAAAGGCAGUUGUGGAAAAUGGGGAAGCUACCACCUCCAAUUAGGAAUCUUAUAUAUAAUGCUUUUGAGAUCUGCGCUUGCAAGCCAUGAACCCUUUAAAUGGUCACUAAUACAAUGGGAAGGUCAGAAGGAAAUUCAAACACAAAUUACUUCGAAAGGUCCUAGCUUUAACAUAACCCUGGAUGACCUACUUGAUAGGACGGGUUCUAGCCCCUAUAGUGUAUUCUACAUGUGUCCAGCAUCUAACCCAGGGAGGUCAUACUGUAACUACCCCGGAGAAUUUUACUGUGGAUAUUGGGGCUGUGAAACAAUUUCCCUGGGAUGGUCGGUUCAAAUCCAAGAUAAAUACUUAAGGGUUGAAAGAGGUCCACAUGGAUGUAAAAAGCCUUGGACAGAUCCGUCAGGGGUGGUGACUUAUAUCGGUACUUGCAAAUGGGUCUAUCUUAACGUCACGCAACCCCAAGACCCAGGAUGGGUAGUAGGAAAAUUCUGGGGAGUUAGAAUAUGGGAACCCGGGAAAGACCGGGGGGGGCAUAUUGUUAUAAAGAAGGAAAUUGUACCCCACGAUCCUCAGCCUGUUGGACCGAAUCCUGCAAUAACAGACUCAGAAGCCACAAUAAUAAAUCAAGGUGAUUUAGACAGCAUGA